GAUGAAGAACGCAUCGAAAUGCGAUAAGUAAUGCGAAUUGCAGAAUUCAGUGAGUCAUCGAAUCUUUGAACGCACAUUGCGCCCUGUGGUAUUCCGCAGGGCAUGCCUGUUCGAGCGUCAUUUCAACCCUCAAGCUCUGCUUGGUGUUGGGCCCUGCCCGCUGCGGCCGGCCCUAAAGACAGUGGCGGUGCCGCCUGGCCCUGAGCGUAGUACAUCUCUCGCUCCAGUGCCCGGUGGUAGCCUGCCAGAACCCCAACUCUCGUGGUUGACCUCGGAUCAGGUAGGGAUACCCGCUGAACUUAAGCAUAUCAAUAAGCGGAGGA
rnacentral:misc_RNA from 1 species